AGAGAGAGAGAGAGAGAGAGAGUUGUGUCAUGUGGUUUGGUGUGUGUGUGUGUUUAGUCUGCCUCUACCAGUAGAAAGGAGUUGGCGGUCUGACAGAGGAGAUACAGCAGCCUGAGUGUGUUCUUCUUUGUGUGAGUGUGAAUCCCUCUCUGACAUCAUGGUUCCGUUAACACACGGUUGGCUGGCUCUGGCCCGGGUCUAACUGGGCAUGACCAGGUGCUUAUAUCAACAGGAUAGGAUGAGGUCGUUACUCCGUAUCCUCUGCUACAUAACACACUUAAUGACACUUUAAGGGAUAGUUUGCUUUUAUACUUCUGCACUUCUUCAAACACAUAGGAUAUUUCUGUAUCAUUUAACAGCAUCCAAGCAAUGACAGACUUCUAGUAAAAAGUUGGAGAAAGAGUACCAUUUGUGUGAACACAGACGCCCCAGUUAGACUGUCAGAGAGAGAGAGAUAGAGGGGGGUAGAGAGAGAGAGAGAGAGAGAGAGAGAGAGAGAGAGAGAGAGACAGAGACAGGGACAGGUAGAGGGGUAGAGAAGGAUAGAGAGAGAGAGAAGGGUAGAGAGAGAGAGAAGGGUAGAGAGAGAGAAGGGUAGGGAGAGAGAGUGAGAGAGGGAAGGGUAGAGAGAGAGAGAAGGGUAGAGAGAGAGAGAGAGAAGGGUAGAGAGAGAGGGGGAGAGAGUGAGAGAGACAGGGGUAGAGAGAGAUAGAGAGAGAGAGACAGGGAGAGAGACACACAUAGAUACAGAACCAGAGAGAUCGUGGUUCCACCUGUACUGGGUCAUUAGGCUGGUGGCAUGUCGUUGUUUGACUGACCGGCAGACCACCGCCUGGUAUUACCAGAGUAUUAACAGCAUAGUGCCCCUGCUUCACAAAAUACUGCUGAGCUGCAGUCACAGGUUACGUCCCAAACGGAACCCUAUUCCCUACAAUGCUCACUACCUUUGACCAGGGUCCAUAGUGUCAAAAGGCAGUUCCCUAUUUAGGAAAUAGGAAGGUAUUUGGGAUGCAGGCCCAGUAGUCAGAGCAGAGGCCACUGUGGAGAUCAGACCAACAGCCCCAUAUCAAAACAGAGAGAGAAGAUAGGACAUCGUGUUGACACAGUGAAGGCAGCUUGCUGUGACAGCACUCAGAAACUCACACAGUGACAGGCUGCAGGCUGGUAGCUCAGCAUUAUCAGUUGAUUUGAUGUGAGAUGCGUCAUUUGCUCAUUCUAAUGAAUGGUGUGUGAAAAGACCAGUGAAAUCACAGCACAGUGGUAGUUCUGUAGCUGGAAAGGAUGAGAUCCACUACUUUCUACUUCACAUCGCACAAUGGCAUCUUUUUAUAGUAAGUGUGGGGAAAAAAAGACCAAGGUGAUAUCAAUUGGAGGCUGAUUAUCUGAAGACCAGUCAUAUUUAUUAUUUACUAAACAGUUGUCACGGCAACAUGUAUCGACAGGUUCACAUUAUAAACCAUCGGAAGUCUCGUGGUUGUCACGGCAACAUGUAUCGACAGGUUCACAUUAUAAACCAUCGGAAGUCUCGUGGUUGUCACGGCAACAUGUAUCGACAGGUUCGCAUUAUAAACCAUCAGAAGUCUCGUGGUUGUCACGCCAACAUGUAUCGACAGGUUCACAUUAUAAACCAUCAGAAGUCUCGUGGUUGUCACGCCAACAUGUAUCGACAGGUUCACAUUAUAAACCAUCAGAAGUCUCGUGGUUGCCAUGCCAACAUGUAUUGACAGGUUCACAUUAAAACUUCCACACACGGAUCCAGGGUCCAUGGAAAAGUUGUCUUUUUUUGUCCUUUUUUUUCAUACAUCCACCCACCCAGUGGCCAAGUUGGAUGUUUUUUUUAAUUUUCAGACAGAGAGAGGGAACAGUAGCUAUAACUGUCUGUCUGUGAGUGGAGGUUGAAGAGAUUAGAGUGAAGAAGAGGAGGAGGAGGAGGAAACACUGGGACAGUGUUGAUACUGUUGAAGAUGUGGGUUCUUUCAAACACAUGGUAACAGCAGUAAGCCUUGUCCAAGCCAGAAUGGACCAUAGAGCAGGAGCAUAUCUCCUGUUUCUAUAGUGUGAGACAGCUUUGAUGUACAAGUACUCCCCCUGUACGGGACACUAGUAAAUCAAAGUCUCUGCCGUAAGGUCUACAGAACGCUGUCAUAGUAAGACAUAACAGAUGGUAUCAGUAGGUAUUAACAGCAAAGGAAACGGAACAGAGAGAACAUGUUAUGUAACGUUUCUUAAAAUACAUUUCCCUUUCACUCGUUAGAUUUUCACCAAGGGCUUACUGUAGUAAUCAUAACAAUAACAACAUUUCCUUAUGAGUUUCAAGGCCUGGGUAAGGCCUGGGAAAGGCCUGGGAAAGGGCAUGGGAAAGGCCUGGGAAAGGCAUGGGAAAGGCCUGGGUAAGGCCUGGGUAAGGCAUGGGAAAGGCAUGGGAAAGGCCUGGGUAAGGCAUGGGAAAGGGUAAGGCCUGGGUAAGGCCUGGGUAAGGCAUGGGAAAGGGUAAGGCCUGGGUAAGGCCUGGGUAAGGCCUGGGAAAGGCCUGGGAAAGGCAUGGGAAAGGCCUGGGUAAGGCAUGGGAAAGGGUAAGGCCUGGGUAAGGCCUGGGUAAGGCAUGGGAAAGGGUAAGGCCUGGGUAAGACCUGGGUAAGGCAGGGGAAAGGGUAAGGCCUGGGAAAGGAUAAGGCCUUACUUAGGCCUGGGAAAGGAAAGGCCUGGGAAAGGCCUGGGAAAGGCCUGGGAAAGGCCUGGGAAAGGCCUGGGUAAGGCCUGGGUAAGGCAUGGCAAAGUCCUGGGUAAGGCCUGGGUAAGGCCUGGGCAAGACCUGGGUAAGGCAUGGGAAAGGGUAAGGCAUGGGAAAGGAUAAGACCUUACUUAGGCCUGGGAAAGGAAAGGCCUGGGUAAGGCCUGGGUAAGGCAUGGCAAAGUCCUGGGUAAGGCCUGGGUAAGGCCUGGGCAAGACCUGGGUAAGGGUAAGGCCUGGGUAAGACCUGGGUAAGGCCUUGAAACUGAGGAAAGACAAGCAGCCAUAUCCUCACUCAACCUCUUUUAUUCCAGAAUCGUCCUCUAAAAACAAGGAAAUAGACUGAGCCAAAACACAUCACCUUCAUGGCUCAGACUCAAAUGGGACAUGUGCUGUCAAUGACAUAACCAACCAAGAACAACCAACCAGGACCGACCAACCAGGGCCAACCAGGACCAAUAAACACAGAGAAAACAGAGAUGAACACAGUGAAACUAACUGGAACAUGUGGGCGGGAUCAGUGGGUGUGUUCUGGAUCAGAAGCAUGGUUGACAAGAGGACAGGAAGUGUCAUGACUAAUGUAGUAGUUCCAAAAGGAUAUGACACACUGUGGAAAGCCUUGGAGCGCCUGUAUCUCACAGAACAGAACAGCAGCAGUACAACUGAGGACAUCCCUUCCUCUUCACUAUGUUCACUGUCUCAUUAGACUGUAAUAACAGCUGAGGACAUAUCUUCCUCUUUUCAUUAUGUUCACUGUCUCAUUAGACUGUAAUAACAGCUGAGGACAUAUCUUCCUCUUUUCAUUAUGUUCACUGUCUCAUUAGACUGUAAUAACAGCUGAGGACAUAUCUUCCUCUUUUCACUAUGUUCACUGUCCCAUUAGACUGUAAUAACAGCUGAGGACAUAUCUUCCUCUUUUCACUAUGUUCACUGUCCCAUUAGACUGUAAUAACAGCUGAGGACAUAUCUUCCUCUUUUCACUAUGUUCACUGUCCCAUUAGACUGUAAUAACAGCUGAGGACAUAUCUUCCUCUUUUCAUUAUGUUCACUGUCCAAUUAGACUGUAAUAACAGCUGAGGACAUAUCUUCCUAUUUUCACUAUGUUCACUGUCCCAUUAGACUGUAAUAACAGCUGAGGACAUCACUUUACUCUCUGGGACAGUCAGCCUUGUCCAACAGUGAGGGUUUAUUUCCAUAAAUUUCACCAACUGGAAAGGGCACGGGACCUGUCCAGUUCUAUAAUGAGUCUUGUCCAGUCCUGCCCUGUCCAAAUCUAUAAUGAGUAUUGUCCAGUCUUGUCCUGGUCAGCUCUAUGAUGAGUCUUGUCCUGGUCAGUUUUAUAAUGAGUCUUGUCCUGGUCAGCUCUAUAAUGAGUCUUGUCCUGGUCAGUUUUAUAAUGAGUCUUGUCCUGGUCAGCUCUAUAAUGAGUCUUGUCCUGGUCAGUUCUAUAAUGAGUCUUGUCCUGGUCAGUUUUAUAAUGAGUCUUGUCCUGGUCAGUUCUAUAAUGAGUCUUGUCCU
ensembl:lncRNA